rnacentral:rRNA from 1 species
UACGGAGGGUGCAAGCGUUAUCCGGAUUCACUGGGUUUAAAGGGUGCGUAGGUGGGUUGGUAAGUCAGUGGUGAAAUCUCCGAGCUUAACUUGGAAACUGCCAUUGAUACUAUCAGUCUUGAAUACCGUGGAGGUCAGCGGAAUAUGUCAUGUAGCGGUGAAAUGCUUAGAUAUGACAUAGAACACCAAUUGCGAAGGCAGCUCACUACGGGAUUAUUGACACUGAGGCACGAAAGCGUGGGGAUCAAACAGG